CUCUUAUUCAAAACCAUAUAUCAAGAUAAUACUAACAAUUAAUUUCUUGAUUGAUUGUUGGAAAUGUUUAAUCUUAAUCCUUAAAAAGGGACUUCUUGAAAUCUAACUCAGCUCGCAUCACAUCAAGCUUUUUGAUAUUUGCAUACUAUCAAUCUACAAUGUACUUUUUAUUUUUUAAAAUUCGACUUGAUCGCGCUAUCAUUCACUUUCAAAGAU